rnacentral:rRNA from 1 species
GUGACUGCGUACCUUUUGUAUAAUGGGUCAGCGACUUAUAUUCUGUAGCAAGGUUAACCGAAUAGGGGAGCCGAAGGGAAACCGAGUCUUAACUGGGCGUUAAGUUGCAGGGUAUAGACCCGAAACCCGGUGAUCUAGCCAUGGGCAGGUUGAAGGUUGGGUAACACUAACUGGAGGACCGAACCGACUAAUGUUGAAAAAUUAGCGGAUGACUUGUGGCUGGGGGUGAAAGGCCAAUCAAACCGGGAGAUAGCUGGUUCUCCCCGAAAGCUAUUUAGGUAGCGCCUCGUGAAUUCAUCUCCGGGGGUAGAGCACUGUUUCGGCAAGGGGGUCAUCCCGACUUACCAACCCGAUGCAAACUGCGAAUACCGGAGAAUGUUAUCACGGGAGACACACGGCGGGUGCUAACGUCCGUCGUGAAGAGGGAAACAACCCAGACCGCCAGCUAAGGUCCCAAAGUCAUGGUUAAGUGGGAAACGAUGUGGGAAGGCCCAGACAGCCAGGAUGUUGGCUUAGAAGCAGCCAUCAUUUAAAGAAAGCGUAAUAGCUCACUGGUCGAGUCGGCCUGCGCGGAAGAUGUAACGGGGCUAAACCAUGCACCGAAGCUGCGGCAGCGACACUGUGUGUUGUUGGGUAGGGGAGCGUUCUGUAAGCCUGUGAAGGUGUGCUGUGAGGUAUGCUGGAGGUAUCAGAAGUGCGAAUGCUGACAUAAGUAACGAUAAAGCGGGUGAAAAGCCCGCUCGCCGGAAGACCAAGGGUUCCUGUCCAACGUUAAUCGGGGCAGGGUGAGUCGACCCCUAAGGCGAGGCCGAAAGGCGUAGUCGAUGGGAAACAGGUUAAUAUUCCUGUACUUGGUGUUACUGCGAAGGGGGGACGGAGAAGGCUAUGUUGGCCGGGCGACGGUUGUCCCGGUUUAAGCGUGUAGGCUGGUUUUCCAGGCAAAUCCGGAAAAUCAAGGCUGAGGCGUGAUGACGAGGCACUACGGUGCUGAAGCAACAAAUGCCCUGCUUCCAGGAAAAGCCUCUAAGCAUCAGGUAACAUCAAAUCGUACCCCAAACCGACACAGGUGGUCAGGUAGAGAAUACCAAGGCGCUUGAGAGAACUCGGGUGAAGGAACUAGGCAAAAUGGUGCCGUAACUUCGGGAGAAGGCACGCUGAUAUGUAGGUGAAGUCCCUCGCGGAUGGAGCUGAAAUCAGUCGAAGAUACCAGCUGGCUGCAACUGUUUAUUAAAAACACAGCACUGUGCAAACACGAAAGUGGACGUAUACGGUGUGACGCCUGCCCGGUGCCGGAAGGUUAAUUGAUGGGGUUAGCGCAAGCGAAGCUCUUGAUCGAAGCCCCGGUAAACGGCGGCCGUAACUAUAACGGUCCUAAGGUAGCGAAAUUCCUUGUCGGGUAAGUUCCGACCUGCACGAAUGGCGUAAUGAUGGCCAGGCUGUCUCCACCCGAGACUCAGUGAAAUUGAACUCGCUGUGAAGAUGCAGUGUACCCGCGGCAAGACGGAAAGACCCCGUGAACCUUUACUAUAGCUUGACACUGAACAUUGAGCCUUGAUGUGUAGGAUAGGUGGGAGGCUUUGAAGUGUGGACGCCAGUCUGCAUGGAGCCGACCUUGAAAUACCACCCUUUAAUGUUUGAUGUUCUAACGUGGACCCGUGAUCCGGGUUGCGGACAGUGUCUGGUGGGUAGUUUGACUGGGGCGGUCUCCUCCUAAAGAGUAACGGAGGAGCACGAAGGUUGGCUAAUCCUGGUCGGACAUCAGGAGGUUAGUGCAAUGGCAUAAGCCAGCUUGACUGCGAGCGUGACGGCGCGAGCAGGUGCGAAAGCAGGUCAUAGUGAUCCGGUGGUUCUGAAUGGAAGGGCCAUCGCUCAACGGAUAAAAGGUACUCCGGGGAUAACAGGCUGAUACCGCCCAAGAGUUCAUAUCGACGGCGGUGUUUGGCACCUCGAUGUCGGCUCAUCACAUCCUGGGGCUGAAGUAGGUCCCAAGGGUAUGGCUGUUCGCCAUUUAAAGUGGUACGCGAGCUGGGUUUAGAACGUCGUGAGACAGUUCGGUCCCUAUCUGCCGUGGGCGCUGGAGAACUGAGGGGGGCUGCUCCUAGUACGAGAGGACCGGAGUGGACGCAUCACUGGUGUUCGGGUUGUCAUGCCAAUGGCACUGCCCGGUAGCUAAAUGCGGAAGAGAUAAGUGCUGAAAGCAUCUAAGCACGAAACUUGCCCCGAGAUGAGUUCUCCCUGACCCUUUAAGGGUCCUGAAGGAACGUUGAAGACGACGACGUUGAUAGGCCGGGUGUGUAAGCGCAGCGAUGCGUUGAGCUAACCGGUACUAAUGAACCGUGAGGCUUAACCUU